ACGGGUGCGGAACACGUACAGAACCUUCCUUCGAGCGGGGCAUAGCCCGGCGAAAGCCGGAUUAAUACCCCAUAGUAAAAUGAGACGGCAUCGUUUUGUUUUUAAAGAUUUAUCACUUGAAGAUGGCUGUGCGGCUGAUUAGGUAGUUGGCGGGGUAACGGCCCACCAAGCCUUCGAUCAGUAACUGGUGUGAGAGCACGACCAGUCACACGGGCACUGAGACACGGGCCCGACUCCUACGGGAGGCAGCAGUAAGGAAUAUUGGUCAAUGGACGCAAGUCUGAACCAGCCAUGCCGCGUGGAGGAUGAAGGCCCUCUGGGUUGUAAACUUCUUUUAUAUGGGACGAAAAUGGGUCUUUCUAGAUCAACUGACGGUACCAUUUGAAUAAGCACCGGCUAACUCCGUGCCAGCAGCCGCGGUAAUACGGAGGGUGCAAGCGUUAUCCGGAUUCACUGGGUUUAAAGGGUGCGUAGGUGGGUCAGUAAGUCAGUGGUGAAAUCUCUGGGCUCAACCCGGAAACUGCCAUUGAUACUAUUGGUCUUGAAUAUUGUGGAGGUUAGCGGAAUAUGUCAUGUAGCG
rnacentral:rRNA from 1 species